GAAACACUAAUAGUCUGUUAAAAUAAUUUCUCAGCAAUAACAUGGUUUUUGUGGGUGCUUUACUUUGCCUUAGUUACUGGUAUAGACUUGCACAUAUCCUAUUUGAAGAUGAAAUCCUUUCAGGCUUGGAGGUUCUUUCUGCAGAAUAAGGAGAGCAGGCACCUAGCACAUGUCAGGCAUGUUGAAGCAAACACACAUGCACCUUAUGCAAAACCUGAGUUCAAGGUAAUGCUCAUAGCCCUUGCCUCACAACAUCUGAGGCUAUGGUUUUAGGUGUUCUUAUGGACCAUUCCACAAGCCUUGAAAUCUGAAUGUCGAAACGUCUCCUUUGCAACAGCCAUUAUCUGUGUGGGAAGCUGCUGGCUGGCUUCUUCUUUGCAGGCAGGGAAUCCACCCUCAAUCUGCUGGGAGGGACUGGAGUCACUAUGCACAACUGCAGGACUCUUGAGGGGAAAAAGUGAGGCCACACCAGACCCAGGGCAGUGCUCCAGGGAGGGAGACAUGCUGAGCUGCAAGAAGUGCUAAACUCAGGCUGAAGGCGGCAGUGGUGGUGGCGUGGGGUGGUAGUGGGUGGCCGAGCAGAGUCUGCCGUGACCAUGGCUAGAGGCAAAGCCGGGAAGGACAGCGGGAAGGCCAAGGCUAAGGCAGUGUCUCGCUGACAGAGAGCUGGUCUACAGUUUCCUGUGGACCGCAUCCACAGACACUUGAAGACUCGAACCACAAACCAUGGACGGGUGGGUGCCACUGCUGCCGUGUACAGUGCUGCAAUUCUGGAGUACAUUACUGCUGAGGUCCUGGAACUGGCAGGAAAUGCUUCCAAGGAUCUCAAAGUAAAGCGUAUCACUCCCAGUCACUUGUGGUGACGAAGAGCUGGAUUCUCUUAUCAAGGCUACCAUAGCUGGGGGUGUGAUCCCUCACAUCCACAAAUCUCUAAUUGGAAAGAAGGGACAGCAGAAAACUGCUUAGAGGGUUGUAUAACCCUUUUCCUUCCCAUCACUGUACUGUAACUGGGACAGACGAAAACAAUGGAAAUGUAUGGAAUUUUUUAAAAUAGUUAAAUAGAAAAGCAUAGAAAAUUACUGAAGGCAUGACAGAAAAAACAUUUGUACAUUUUUAGACUCAACGUUUGAUAAAAGAACCUUUUCACAUCAUGAUAGUUGUGUAGAUUGGCCAGCU